CUUUCUUUAAAACUCAUUAUUGGCUUAAAAGGGUAAUUAUUUUGCCAUAUGGCGGAAGGUAGGAUUGGACCGAGUCACGUUCGAAAUUACAGGAGGCUGAGGGUUAAGCCACAAUCGAGACCUAUGAGUAUUGUGUCGAUAUGUACGUUUUAAAUGAAUUGGCUGUAUAUUUCUAAAAAUUCGAAUUUUUAGGAUUAAUGGUUAAUGCCAAUGAUCUAACUCAUGGUAUGUUUAUUUUAAAGGGAAUAAGAG
rnacentral:lncRNA from 1 species